GGAAGGAUCAUUAUCAUAUAAUAGAGGCGCCAGGGCUGUCGCUGACCUUUAAGGUUGUGCACGCCCAGAGCAUUCUCUCACAUCCAUCAUUACACCCCUUUGUGCAUCAUCGCGUGGGGCGCUCCCUUUUGGAUUAUUUCCGAGAGGGGUGUUCACGUUUUUAUAUAAACACCCUUUAAUGCAUGUAUAGAAUGUCUUAUAUUUUUGUGAUCACACGCAAUCAAUACAACUUUCAACAAUGGAUCUCUUGGCUCUCGCAUCGAUGAAGAACGCAGCGAAAUGCGAUAUGUAAUGUGAAUUGCAGAAUUCAGUGAAUCAUCAAAUCUUUGAAUGUACCUUGUGCCCCUUGGUAUUCUGAGGGGCACACCCAUUUGAGUGUCAUGAACACCUUCAACCUUCUUAGUUUCUCGACUAAGGAAGGCUUGGACUUUGGAGGCUUUUCUUGCUGGCGACACUUGAAGUUAGCUCCUCCUAAAUGAAUUAGUAGGGUCCACUUUGCUGAUCCCUUGGUGUGAUAAGUAAUGCUUCUAUGUCUUGGGUUUUGCAUCAUUGAGUCGGAAACUGCUUAGAACUGUCUUAGGACAAAUGUUAUAAACCUUAACCUCAAAUCAGGUGAGACUACCCGCUGAACUUAAGCAUAUCAAUAAGCAGAGGAAAAGAAACUAACAAGGAUUCCCCUAGUAACUGCGAGUGAAGCGGAAAAAGCUCAAAUUUAAAAUCUGGUGGUCUAUAGCCAUCCGAGUUGUAAUUUAGAGAAGUGUCUUCUGCGCUGGACUGUGCACAAGUCUCCUGGAAUGGAGCGUCAUAGAGGGUGAGAAUCCCGUCUUUGGCACGGAGUCCCAGGGCUUCUGUGAUGCGCUCUCAAUGAGUCGAGUUGUUUGGGAAUGCAGCUCAAAAUGGGUGGUGAACUCCAUCUAAAGCUAAAUACUGGCAAGAGACCGAUAGCGAACAAGUACCGUGAGGGAAAGAUGAAAAGCACUUUGGAAAGAGAGUGAAACAGUACGUGAAAUUGUUGAAAGGGAAAUGCUUGAAGUCAGUCACGUCGACCAAGACUCAGCCUUGCCUUGGCUUGGUGUACUUCUCGGCUGACGGGUCAGCAUUAAUUUCGAUCUUUGGAUAAUGGCAAGGGAAAGGUAGCACCUUCUUAGAUGUGUUAUAGUCCUCUGUUGGAUGCAAGGGUCGGGAUUGAGAAACUCAGCAUGCACUUUAGUGUUGGGGCUUCAGCUCACGUAACGUGCUUAGGAUGUUGGCAUAAUGGCUUUAAACGACCUGUCUUGAAACACGGACUAAGGAGUCUAACAUACCUGCGAGUGUUCGGGUGGAAAACCCGUGCGUGUAAUGAAAGUAAAAGUUGGGACCUCUGUCGUGGAGGGCACCAACGCCCGGACCAGACCUUCUGUGACGGCUCUGUGAUAGAGCGUAUAUGUUGGGACCCGAAAGAUGGUGAACUAUGCCUGAAUAGGGUGAAGCCAGAGGAAACUCUGGUGGAGGCUCGUAGCGAUUCUGACGUGCAAAUCGAUUGUCAAAUUUGGGUAUAGGGGCGAAAGACUAAUCGAACCAUCUAGUAGCUGAUUCCUGC
rnacentral:misc_RNA from 1 species